rnacentral:lncRNA from 1 species
CCACAGCAAUGGUGUUAAUUACACAUUUACAUACAGUAUCAAGAGAAAGAGCUGCCAUUUUUGGAGGAAACAGCUCGUGAAGGUUACCUUUAGAAACCUCCUUUGACAUACCAGUUGUUGAGAACUAUUAACAGAAAGUUAAAACUAAGUUAAUACAUUUAAGUAGCCAAGGCAGAAACGUGUUGCAACUGAAAAAAAAAAAAAAAGGCCAUUGAGGUUAAGAAUCUUGUGGAAAAUGACAGUCAGAAGGCAAGAAUAUAGUAAUACAACCGGCAAGGAUCAGUUUCUUAGACAACAAAACCAGUGCAGUAGCGGGGUGCCAUUCAGCCUCUUUACUGGCUUCAGAGCGUGCGUCCGCCAAGCAGGCCCAGGCCCAGAGCUCCAACAGUUCCAGUUCUCAGGCUUCAGCUCUGCAGCAGUGACUGACCGUCUGUCCUACUGCAAAAAUGCAAAGGCAACCCUACACGUUGGGAACAGAAAUGUCAGUCAGAACCUCUG